UACGGAGGGUGCAAGCGUUAAUCGGAAUUACUGGGCGUAAAGCGUGCGCAGGCGGUUUGUUAAGUCUGCUGUGAAAUCCCCGAGCUCAACUUGGGAAUUGCAGUGGAUACUGGCAAGCUAGAGUAUGGUAGAGGAAGGUGGAAUUCCCGGUGUAGCAGUGAAAUGCGUAGAGAUCGGGAGGAACACCAGUGGCGAAGGCGGCCCGCUGGGCAGUGACUGACGCUGAGGCGCGACAGCGUGGGGAGCAAACAGG
rnacentral:rRNA from 1 species